ensembl:lncRNA
GUUCUUAAAGGGGAAGAGCGCCUUAAAGGGGAAGUCUUGGAGCGUCGCCUCAGAACGCUCAAAAACAUCGCCGAUACUAAGGCUGCUUUGAGGAAAAAGCUCGAAGAAGAAUGGAGGUACCACUGAGCUUUGAGGGAGACCCGAGGGCUCAGGAUCCUGGAUUCUGCUCAUUCUGGCGCUUCCCUGGGAGCGCAUUGUGACCCAAAGCGAUUCCUCGCCCUUUCUGAGCCUCAGUUUCAGAGACAGGUCCUAGCACGGGAGUUGCGGGGCUCAAAUCCGUAGCCUUCCCCAGCCUCUACGUCUGCCUCUUUCCAGACUGCCCCUAGGGGGACAGCGGCACGGUCUGCAUGAAGACAGAGGCCUGCCCCGAAUCCCUCUGCCAUCUCUGCGUAAUGGGGAAAAUAGCACUGGAUGAUGACAAAUUCCAGAGACUAAAAUAGAGUCCAAUGCAUCCUGAGACCUCAAGCUGGUAACCUACAGGGAAGAUGCGCAGAUUUUUCACCAAAUAUCUACAGCAUAGACAGAAAAGCGAUGUGUUUGUUUGUUUGAGGGAAGACUUCUGCUUUCAAGAAGAUGCAGUAGACAUACUUUUCUUACUCUUCCCACUAAAAUACAACUAAAACCCCUGGACAUUAUAUGUAAAACAAACAUAAGAAGAUUCUAAAAGGUGGAAAAAUGAAAGCAGGGCCAGCCCUGAUGGUCCAGUGUUUAAAGUUCAGCACUUACUGUUUCAGCAUCCAAGGUUCAUUUCCCCAUCAUGGAACCACACCACCCAUCUCUCAGUUGCCAUGCUGUCGUGGUGGCCCACACAGAACUAGGACUUAUAACUAGGAUAUACAACCAAGGCACUGUAGGGCACUUUGGGGAGGAAAAAAAGAGGAAGAUUGACAACAGAUGUUAUCUCAGGGUGAAUCCUUCUCUGCAAAAAAGAAAAAAAGAAAAGAAAAGAAAAGCAGGAAGUCUAAGGACCUCAGGACCCAAGAAACAACACAGUAGUGAGUUUCAUGGGUUUUCUUUUUGUCUCAUAUAUCCAAGAAUGGGUGCUAGAAAGGUCAGCAACCCAGAAACACCAACAUGCACAGACAUAAAAAACUCCAAUAAAAUCCAGCCCUCUCUAGCCAAAAGGCCAGGAAAGGGGUAGCCUACAAAGACAGAAACUUCUAGACAAUAACUACUCUGCUCCAGCCAAACAACAAAUAAAAAACUUUGGCCCCACUUGCACCCACACUAGCAAAGGCCAAGAGGGGAUCCUAGACUUCCACCCUCGUGAGGCCCCCCAAUAAUGAGACACCCCCAUACCUACCUUGGGGUGGUGUCAGAGAAGGCCAGGUUGGGAGUCCAUCCCCACAGGCCAGUAAUGAGGUUCUCUUCCAUCCCCUGCAGUGUGAAUGGAGACCACGUCGGGUGCUGGAACUAACACACUUACUCAGCCCAGCAGGUGUCAUCAGAAGCCAAAUGGUGAACCUGGACUUCUUACCUCCACAUGGCAGUAGUGAGAUGGUACACCUUCUUUCCCUGCAGGAGUAGUGUCCAAAAAAAGCCAGUUAAAACAGAAGGCUCAGGCCAGCCUGGUGGCACAGUGGUUAAGUUUGCACGUUCUGCUUCAGUGGCCCAGGGUUCGCAAGUUCGGAUCCCGGGUGCAGACCUAUGCACUGCUUGUCAAACCAUGCUGUGGCAGGCAUACCACAUAUAAAGUAGAGGAAGAUGAGCGCAGAUGUUAGCUCAGGGCCAGUCUUCCUCAGCAAAAAGAGGAGGAUUGGCAGCAGAUGUUAGCUCAGGGCUAAUCUUCCUCAAAACAAAAACAAAACAGAAGGCUUAAAUAAGAUCCAGAAUCUAUAACAUAAUGCAAAAAUGUCCAGGUUUCAAUUUAAAAAUUCACACAUCAUAUCAAAACCAGAAAGACCUCAAACUGAAUGAAAAUGUCAACGAGUAGAUGCCAACAACAAGAUGACAGAAUUAUUUUCAGGCAGCCAUAAUAAAUAUCCUUCAACAAGCAAUUACAAACACACUUGAAACAAAUGAAAUGGAGAGAGCCUCAGCAAAGAAAUAGAAGCUAUCAAGAAGAACCAAAUGGAAAUUUUAGAACUGAAAAAUACAAUAACCAAACAAAAAGCUCAGUGGAUGAGCUCCACAGUAGAAUGCAUAGGACAGAGGAAAAAAAUCAGUGAACUAGAAGAUAGGACACUAGAAAUUAUCCAGUCUGGACAAUUGACAAAAAUUAGAGUGAAAAAAAAUUGAACAGAGCCUACAGAAUCAGUGGGACUAUAACAAAAGAUCUAACAAUUGUGUCAUCAGAGUCCCAGAAGGAGAGGAGAAAGAGGGCAGUGCUGGAAAAGUACUAAUAGAAAUAAUGGCUGAAAACUUCUCAAAUUUGGUGAGAGACAUAAUCCUACAGAUUCAAGAAGCUAAGCAAACCCCAAACAGAAUUAUCUGAAAGGAAUAUAUAGGCAUACCCCAUUUUAUUGUGCUUCACUUUAUUAUGCUUUGCAAAUACUGCAUUUUUUACGAGACCCUCCACCAGCAAAAAAGAUUAUGACUUGCUGAAAGUUCAGAUGGUGAUUAGCAUUUUUUUAGCAAUAAAGUAUUUUUAAUUAAGGUAUGUACAUUUUUUUAGACAUAUUGCUAUUGCACACUUAAUAGACUACAGUAUAGAUUAAACAUAACUUUUAUAUGCACUGGGAAACCAAAAAAUUUGUGUGACUCACUUUAUUGUGGUGGUCUGGAGUCAAACCCACAAUAUCUCUGAGGUAUGCCUGCACACCAAGGUACAUCAUAAUUAAACUUUUGAAAACUAAAGACAAAGGAAAAAUCUUGAAAGUAGCCAGAGAAAAAUACCUUACCUUACCUGUAGGGGAGAAAACAAUUCAAACUAUAGCAGAUUUCCCAUCAAAAACCAUGGAGGUCAGAAAGAAGUGGCACAAUGUUUUUCAAGUGUUCAAAGAAAAGAACUGUCAACCCAGAAUCCUAUAUUAUUAGGCUAUACUAUUAACCCUAUAAUACUAGUGUUUUUUUUUUUUGCUGCUAUGACAAAUUUAGUGGCUUAAAACAACACAAAUUUAUUAUCUUACAAUCUUAGAGGUCAGAAGCCUGAAAUGGGUCUCACUAGGCUAAAAUUGAGGUGUCAGUGGAGCUAUAUUACUUCUUGAGGCUCUAGAGGAAAAUCUACUUCCUUGUUUUCCAGAUUCUAGAAGCUACCCACAUUCUUCAGCUCAUGGCCUCUUUCCUCCAUCUCUAGCCAGCAAGGUUCUGGGGAUUAUGACAUGGACAUCUUUCAGGGGACAUUAUUCUGCACCAUACCCAAUGAAAAUAUCCUUCAGGAAUGAAGGGAAAAUCAAGACAUUCCCAAUGAAGGAAAACUAAGAGAAUUUGUCACCAGCAGACCUACCCUAAAUGAAUGGCUAAAGGAAGUUCUUUAAGAGGAAAGGAAAUGAUGAAAUAAAAACUCUUGGAACGUCAUGAAAGAAGAAGGAAUACAGUAAGCAAAAGUAUGGAUAAAUAUAAUAGGCUUGAGUUUUCCAAAAUAUGUUUGAUGCUUGAAGCAAAAUCAUACCACUGUUUGUGUUUUGGAAUAAGCAUUAGCUAAAAGCAUGAAACCUGGAUUUGAAUCACAGUUUUCCCACUAGUUAGUUAUAUUCACCAUCUGUGAGUUGCAGUAACUUUGGCCUGACACCUCAUUCUCCAGUUUACAACCUGAGGGGAUGGAACUCAUCAGUUCUCUAAAAGGCCUCUAUCUCUAAAAUCUAUGAUGUUCAGCUGUGACUCUCAUGUGGCAAGUGUCAAAUGCCCUGUAUAAAAGCCAGUCUUAUACGACAUUUUAAUUUAAUAAUUCAGUAAGUAUGUAUUAAGCACAAGUCCCUAUGCUAAUUCCCUAAUUCCUUAUUAUCUACACUGGUACAAGGCAUUUACCCUGAUACUUACAUUACCUUUAAAUCCUCUCACAGGGUUUACCUUACCUAUCCCUCCACCACUGCCACACACAUACACUUCCUGCCCUUAGGAGCGUUCUAAACCAGGCUGCCCCCACCCAGCCUUCCAACCUGACUUCCACUGAGACCUUUACUACAGUCAUUGAUUCUAAAAAGUAUUACUUCAAGAAAAUGAGAAUAAAAGCCACAGACUGAGAGAAAAUAUUUGCAAAACAUAUAUCUGAUAAAGGACUGGUAUCCAAAAUAUACAGAGCACUCUUGAAACUCAGCAGUAAGAAAAAAAUCCAAUUUAAAAAUGGGCAAAAGAUCUGCACACCUUACCAAAGAAGAUAUACAGAUAGCAAAGAAGCAUAUGAAAAGAUGCUCGACAUCAUAUGUCAUUGGGGGAUUGCAAAUUAAAACAACAAUAAGAUACCACUACACAACUGCUAGAAUGGCCAAAAUCUAAAAUUCUGAGAACGUCAAAUGCCGGUGAGGUUGUGGAGCAACAGGAACUCUCAUUCACUGCUGGUGGGAAUGCAACAUAGUCCAGACACUGUAGACAGUUUGGAAGUUUCUUACAAAACUAAAUAAACUCUUACCAUGAGAUUCAGUAAUCAUGCUCCUUGGUAUUAACCCAAAGGAGUCGAAAACAUUUAUCCACACAAAACCCUGCCAAUGAAUGUUUAUAUAGGAGCUUUAUUCAUAAUUGCCAAAACUUGGAAGCAACCAAGAUGCCCCUGAGUAGGUGAAUAGAUAAACAAACUGUGACAAAUUUAUAUAAUGGAAUAUUAUUCAGUGAUAAAAAGAAAUGAGUUUAAAAAGGAAAGAGAAAGAAAUAAGCUAUCAAGACACAAAAAGACAUGGAAGAACCUUAAAAUGCAUAUUGCUAAGUGAAAGACGCCAAUCUGAAAAGGUACCAUACUGUGUGACUCCAACCAUAUGACAUUCUGGAAAAGGCAAAACUGUGGAGACAGUAAAAAGAUCCAUGGAUUCGGGGGAUGGAGUGGACAGGGGAUGAACAUGUGGAGCACAGGGGGGUUUUAGGGCAGCAAAACUAUUCUAUAUGAUACUGUAAUGAUGGAUAUAUGUCAUCAUACGUUUGUCAAAACCCGUAGAAUGUACAACACCAACAGUGAACCCUACUGUCAACUAUGGACUUUAGUUAAUAACAAUGUAUCAAUAUUGAUUCAUCAACUGUACCAAAUGUAACCACACUAAAACAAGAUGUGAAUGAUACAGGAAAUGGAGAGAGGGAGGAGGGGGUAUAUGUAAACUCUGUACUUUCUGCUCAUUUUCUGUAAACCUACAACUGCUCUAAAAAAAAUAAGUAGUCAAAAAUUAUUAAAUAGCAAAACAAAUAAAUAUAUCAAAAAUGUAGUUCUGUGAAAAAUUAAGAAAAUAAACCACUAGCAAACCUAGUUAAGGGGGAAAAAUUAACACAAAAAAUAAAAAUAACAAUGAAGAAAUAAUCAUAGAAACAAAGGAAGUUUUUUUCAAAAACAUUUAUGAGACUAUUUCACAUAACUCUUUUGUCGCAGGUUGCGUUCCUUGGGAAGCAAACUAAUAUGGAAAUUUGCAUGCACAAAGUUUACUUGGGACUGCCUUCAGGAUCAACGUCUGUGGGAGAACAAAGAAAGUAGGAUUGCGCAAAGAGAGGAUUUGAACUCAACAAUUCAACUUCAUAAGAAUUCAAAAAGAAAAAAACCUCUUAUUUGCAGGGCACUUAUUGUCUAUGUACACUCUUUCCCCCUUCCCACCUCCCCAAAGGAUAUACGGAUAAAUUAGUAGAAUUAAUAAGAGAGCUUAAUAAGGUUUUGGAAACAAAUCAAUAAGUAAAAAUCAACUUUAUUUCUAUGCACUGGCAAAAAUCAAAGGCUAUAGUAGAAAAAAAAGAAAGGUAACACAUAACAGCAAGAAAAAAUAUAAAAUACUAGAAUUAAUUCCAGCAGAAGAUGUGUAAGACUUUUAGGGAGAAAACUAAAAUUUUAUUUGAAGACAUUAAAGAAAAUCUAAAUAAAUAGAGUAUUCUUCUAUAGGAAAUUCCCCAAACUCAAUAUUGAUCCUCAUUAAGAACUUUUAAUUUAUUGAACAGGCUGAUUCUAAAAUGCUCUUGAUAGAGCAAGGAGCCAAUCAUAGUUAAGAUAAUCGUGAGGAAAAACGAGGUGAGAGCAUUUACUUCAUCAGACAUCAGGACUUAAAACAAUAUGGUAUUCAGUGCAAGGAU